rnacentral:rRNA from 1 species
CCUACGGGCGGCAGCAGUGAGGAAUAUUGGUCAAUGGACGAGAGUCUGAACCAGCCAAGUAGCGUGAAGGAUGACUGCCCUAUGGGUUGUAAACUUCUUUUAUAAAGGAAUAAAACGAGGCACGUGUGCCUUUUUGCAUGUACCUUAUGAAUAAGGAUCGGCUAACUCCGUGCCAGCAGCCGCGGUAAUACGGAGGAUCCGAGCGUUAUCCGGAUUUAUUGGGUUUAAAGGGAGCGUAGAUGGGUUGUUAAGUCAGUUGUGAAAGUUUGCGGCUCAACCGUAAAAUUGCAGUUGAUACUGGCAGUCUUGAGUGCAGUAGAGGUAGGCGGAAUUCGUGGUGUAGCGGUGAAAUGCAUAGAUAUCACGAAGAACCCCGAUUGCGAAGGCAGCUUACUAAACUGUAACUGACGUUGAUGCACGAAAGUGUGGGUAUCGAACAGGAUUAGAUACCCCAGUAGUC